GAAUAUUGGUCAAUGGACGCAAGUCUGAACCAGCCAUGCCGCGUGGAGGAUGAAGGUCCUCUGGAUUGUAAACUUCUUUUAUCUGGGACGAAAAAAGGGAAUUCUUUCUCGUCUGACGGUACCAGAUGAAUAAGCACCGGCUAACUCCGUGCCAGCAGCCGCGGUAAUACGGAGGGUGCAAGCGUUAUCCGGAUUCACUGGGUUUAAAGGGUGCGUAGGCGGGUAUGUAAGUCCGUGGUGAAAUCUCCGAGCUUAACUCGGAAACUGCCAUGGGUACUGCGUAUCUUGAAUGUUGUGGAGGUGAGCGGAAUAUGUCAUGUAGCGGUGAAAUGCUUAGAUAUGACAUAGAACACCAAUUGCGAAGGCAGCUGACUACACAAAUAUUGACGCUGAGGCACGAAAGCGUGGGGAUCAAACAGG
rnacentral:rRNA from 1 species